GUGUCAGCAGCCGCGGUAAUACGGAGGAUCCAAGCGUUAUCCGGAUUUAUUGGGUUUAAAGGGUGCGUAGGCGGUUUAUUAAGUCAGUGGUGAAAGCCCGGAGCUCAACUUCGGAACUGCCAUUGAUACUGAUAGACUUGAGUACAGAUGAAGUGGGCGGAAUGUGACAAGUAGCGGUGAAAUGCUUAGAUAUGUCACAGAACACCGAUUGCGAAGGCAGCUCACUAAAGUGUAACUGACGCUGAGGCACGAAAGCGUGGGGAUCAAACAGGAUUAGAAACCCUCGUAGUCC
rnacentral:rRNA from 1 species